rnacentral:rRNA from 1 species
AUCUAUAGCCAUACCACCCUGAGCAUGCCUGAUCUCAUCUGAUCUUGGAAGCUAAGCAGGGCCGGGCCUGGUUCGUAAUUGGAUAGGAGAAAUAUUGAAGAGAUUAAAAAUGACAGGAAUCAAUACACA